UUAUUCAAAAAAUUUAAAAUUAAUUUUUUUAGUUACCAUGUACAAAAUUUUUCUCUAAACUUUAGGGAUAUAAAUAUCAUUUUCCCUUAUUAAACUAAUAAAAAUUUAAAGCUAUCUUAAACUACUUAUCUCAUGGUCUCUAUGGGAUAAGUUUUUUAAGAUUAAAUGGUGAGUCCCACAUGGAACGGAAGCCACGUUCUUUUAAUAGCAAUCCCAAAAUGAUCCAAACAUAAAAUAGUCCAGUCCCGUGCACUUGUCUUGCCACCGAACGCACCCCGACUACUUUUCACGUUUUAAAAUAUGAUUGAGCAAGUCAUUCUAUGUCCCCAGGCGUUGCUUUAAUAUCGGUGGAGAAAAAAUGGUUGAUUUACUUAGCAAAUCAUUGUGCCCCUAGGGGACUUUUGUUCCCCACGCCUCCGGUUCACACUAUAAAGCAAGUUCUUCACGUUACGCAAUGUGUUUUUUCAAAUGGGAUUCAUUACUUUCAAUAAAAAAAUUUGCAACUUUUUAAAAUGGAAUAUUUAUUUAUAAAAAAAUUUAA
rnacentral:lncRNA from 1 species